CCUACUGUAUUAUCCCAAAGCUCUUCUCGAAACAUAUGCAGGAAUCACUUCACCCAACAUUGAUACGCAUCCAACCCUGGGGCAGAAUGUGUCAGCUGUUUAGCAGUGCAAAGACUGAUGGGGUCAGGCAGAUUUGUACGUUGAAGAUACUGUUAAAUACUCCACUGAUGGCAUUGAAAAUCGAGCUCAGAGGCCUCUGGAUGAAAUUCGGCAGUGAUCCAUCAGUCCAUCUCAGAGAAGUACCCUGCAGAAAAGUAAUACAGAAGUUUAAUGAGAACUGCAGAGAGAACAGAACUGGGUUGUCCUUUUGUCUUCAUAACUGGCGAGGUUCACAAGGAAAUCAUUCUGAGCUGCACUGGAGAUGCUGGUGA
rnacentral:lncRNA from 1 species